rnacentral:lncRNA from 10 species
GCCCAGGCUGGAGUGCAGUGGCAUGAUUUUGGCUCAAUGCAAGCUCCGCCUCCUGGGUUCAAAUGAUUCUCCUGCCUUAGCCUCCCAAGUAGCUGGGACUACAGGGGCGUGCCACCAGGCCUUGCUAAUUUUUUGUAUUUUUAGUACAGACGGGGUUUCACUGUGUUAGCCAGGAUGGUCUCGAUCUCCUGACCUUGUGAUCCACCUGCCUUGGCCUCCCAGAGUGCUGGGAUUACAGGCGUAAGCCACCGUGCCUGGCCGAUGCCACCUCUUCUUGAAAGCCUUCUCAAUUCCUCAAAAUACCUAAACCAAGGAUCCCUUUGUGUUCCUCUAUUUCUAGCCUCGUCCUUGUUUCCUUGGACUGUCAUUGUUUAUGGGGAUACCUCCUCCACUCACCUGAAUCCUGCAAGCAUAGUGAGUGGCUGAAUCCAAGCAACCUUUGGUCACCUUUGUGUUCUGGGCCUUUAGAGUGCCUGAUGCAUGGAGAACAGCCAUUUAUUCCUUUUUCUUUUCCUUAGGAGUUACCUUUCAUGGAAGGGUAAGCAGGAAGCAACUACAAGAUCAUCAUUUCAAAACAAUAUGAAAGCAGAAUGGGAAAUGCCAUGGCAUGCUCCCUCUUUUCAGGCAAUAUGGACACUUUGGGGAAGUUAUGAAGCGUCUCCCAUUCCCGCUUGAGGUACUCAAUAGAGCCCACAAACACAAUGUGCUUGAGCUCAUGGUAAUGAAAGUUGCUGGCACGGAGCGGCAUCACCAGGUUCCGGAGGCCGAUCAGGGCUGAGCUGACGUCGCCAAAGAUGCAGACCACGACAUGGCCACUCAGGACGGUCAUGGCAGCUUCACUUCGAGUCUACAACAGGGAGAAGUGGGU